GACGAACGCUGGCGGCGUGCUUAACACAUGCAAGUCGAACGGAAAGGCCCUGCUUUUGUGGGGUGCUCGAGUGGCGAACGGGUGAGUAACACGUGAGUAUCCUGCCCUUGACUUUGGGAUAACUUCAGGAAACUGGGGCUUAUACCGGAUAGGAUCUCCUGCUGCAUGGUGGGGGUUGGAAAGUUUCGGCGGUUGGGGAUGGACUCGCGGCUUAUCAGCUUGUUGGUGGGGUAGUGGCUUACCAAGGCUUUGACGGGUAGCCGGCCUGAGAGGGUGACCGGCCACAUUGGGACUGAGAUACGGCCCAGACUCCUACGGGAGGCAGCAGUGGGGAAUAUUGCACAAUGGGCGGAAGCCUGAUGCAGCAACGCCGCGUGCGGGAUGACGGCCUUCGGGUUGUAAACCGAUUUCGCCUGUGACGAAGCGUGAGUGACGGUAAUGGGUAAAGAAGCACCGGCUAACUACGUG
rnacentral:rRNA from 1 species